AUGCCGAGCUGGGUCAGGAACUGCGCAAGGAGGAGGAGACACUGCUCCUGUUGAAGGCAGCCCUCGCAUGACCUGCUGAAUCACAUCAAGGUUGAAGCAUUGGCCCUCCAAUCAAUGAUUAGUUCUGGGAGAGGGGAUGAGGUGCUGUCUUCUCCAACUUCUCCAACUGUGCCUGAACAGUCACACGUCAUGUCAGUGCAUAUAGAGAAUGAAGCAUCAGUCAACCAAACUACGCUGGAGUGGAGCAUAGAGUCCUGUGACAGAAGAGGAGGAGGAAGAGAAAGAAGAAUCAGAUCCCUAA
rnacentral:lncRNA from 1 species